rnacentral:rRNA from 1 species
UUUGACCUCAAAUCAGGUAGGACUACCCGCUGAACUUAAGCAUAUCAAUAAGCGGAGGAAAAGAAACCAACAGGGAUUGCCUCAGUAGCGGCGAGUGAAGCGGCAAAAGCUCAAAUUUGAAAUCUGGCGUCUUUGGCGUCCGAGUUGUAAUUUGAAGAAGGUAUCUUUGGGCCCGGCUCUUGUCUAUGUUCCUUGGAACAGGACGUCACAGAGGGUGAGAAUCCCGUGCGAUGAGAUGACCCGGGUCUGUGUAAAGUUCCUUCGACGAGUCGAGUUGUUUGGGA